GACGAACGCUGGCGGCGUGCUUAACACAUGCAAGUCGAACGGAAAGGCCCUGCUUUUGUGGGGUGCUCGAGUGGCGAACGGGUGAGUAACACGUGAGUAACCUGCCCUUGACUUUGGGAUAACUUCAGGAAACUGGGGCUAAUACCGGAUAGGAGCUCCUGCUGCAUGGUGGGGGUUGGAAAGUUUCGGCGGUUGGGGAUGGACUCGCGGCUUAUCAGCUUGUUGGUGGGGUAGUGGCUUACCAAGGCUUUGACGGGUAGCCGGCCUGAGAGGGUGACCGGCCACAUGGGGACUGAGAUACGGCCCAGAGUCCUACGGGAGGCAGCAGUGGGGAAUAUUGCACAAUGGGCGGAAGCCUGAUGCAGCAACGCCGCGUGAGGGAUGACGGCCUUCGGGUUGUAAACCGCUUUCGCCUGUGACGAAGCGUGAGUGACGGUAAUGGGUAAAGAAGCACCGGCUAACUACGUG
rnacentral:rRNA from 1 species